rnacentral:rRNA from 1 species
UACGGAGGAUGCGAGCGUUAUCCGGAUUUAUUGGGUUUAAAGGGUGCGUAGGCGGACUGUCUAGUCAGCGGUAAAAUUGAGAGGCUCAACCUCUUCCCGCCGUUGAAACUGGUGGUCUUGAGUGGAUGAGAAGUACGCGGAAUGCGUGGUGUAGCGGUGAAAUGCAUAGAUAUCACGCAGAACCCCGAUUGCGAAGGCAGCGUACCGGCAUCCAACUGACGCUGAGGCACGAAAGCGUGGGGAUCAAACAGG